AAGAAAGAAAUAGAAAGGCUUUAAGCUUUGGUAUUUUCGGCACAUGCAGAGCUUGAUUAAUGUAUGGAUUUUGUUCGGUUUUUGAUUAUUUUUAUGUUUUUGAGAUAGUUGCUUCGAAUACUUCAAAACCCAUGUCUUAAUUUUGUGAAUUGAUGAUGAUUUUGAAAUGUGCCAUUGAUGAAUGAUUGAGUUUUAUGAUGUUAGUUGAUGAAAAAUGAAAUAUAUGUGUUAGAUUAACAUGUUUUGUUUUUAAAUUUUCGGUGAAUUUGAGUAAUUAGGGCUAAAUUGUGAAAAUAAAUUUUUGAGGCACUAAAAUAUGAAAUAAAUGAAAUGUGUCGGCUUGUAUGAAGACUAUGAAUAUUCGGACCUAGCAUGAUGUGUGCAAAUUUUGUGUAUUUUGUGUUUUAUGCAAUAGGGACUAAAUUGUAAAAAGUGUAAAAUGUUAGGGGCAAAAUAGUAAUUUGCCCAUUUAUGUGUUUUUGGAUUAAAUGGAAUGAAUGUGUGAUUAAAUUAGUUAAAUUUGAAUUUAUUUAGAUAAAGAACGAAAGAACGGAAUUAGAUCAAGGGAAAUCGAAAGUUAUCGAAUAGUCGAUUAUAUUGUCUGACAACAUCCGAGGUAAGUCUGUAAGCAUAUAAAUGUUGUUAAAUUUGACUAUAUAUAUAGAUUACAUGAUAAAUGAAAUUGUAUGAAUUUUAAUUGGUGUUGGCCGAAUGUGAUUUGAGCAAGAGAAAUGUUUUUUGAGUUCGAUCUGAUCAGGUUUCAGUAUCCAAAAGCCCCGUACGAACCUUAGGAAUAGAUAGGAUACAUAUGUCAUGACAUAGGAUUUUCGAUAUAUAUUUUCGUGUAAGACCAUGUCUAGGACGUUGGCAUUGACUUGUGUUUACGUAUAAGACCCUGUUUGGGACAGUGGCAUCAAUCUGUGAUCACAUGUAAGAUCACGUCUGGGACGUUGGCAUUGUACGAGCUUUCUAACUAUCCGCACAUCCUUUUUAAUUCUGAAUGGUUCAACGGGUAAUGUUAAAUAAAGACCGAAUGUGAAAACAAAUUAGAAGGUUCAGGUAUGUAUUUAUACCAUGUUAUGAAAUUAAGGUAGGUUGUAUAUUGAAUUAAUGAUUCAAGAUUAAUUAAUAUACGCAUGAUAUGUAAGUAUGUUUAUACUUAUAAGUGAUUUGGUUUAUAAAAGCAAAUGUGAUAUAAAAUAUUUGGUCUGUUAUUAUAAUUAUAAUUUAUGAAAUGAUGAAUAUACAUGUAUUUGAGUAUUUAUGCAUCCAACUUUAUAAAGCUAAAUGCUUAUUUAUAUUUGAUUUAGUUGGUUUGACAAACUGGUUUGAGAUUAAUAUUAAUAUGAAUAAUAUUUGCUUAUGACUUACUAAGCUACGAAAGCUACUGUGUGUAUAUUUAUUCUUCGUUUUAUAGAUUUUGGAAGUGGUUACAAGUUCGGGGAUCGUUAGCAAGACUUAUCACACUAUCGAAAGUUUUCUUCGGUACUUUACUAAGUUGAUUUUGAGUAUAUGGCAUGUAUAGCAUAGUUGGAAUGUUGAUUUUGGAUCUAGUACUUGUAAAUGUAAUUAAUAGCCAUGCGAAAAUGGCUUAUCUUCUUUUGAUCGAGUUUGGUGUCUAUGCAUUUUGUCUUAAUGGUCAUAAAAAUGGAGUUUAUAUUUAUGCAUAUUUGAUUAUGGUAUAAGCUUGUGAUAGGUAAAUAAGGUGUUGUAUAUAGUUUGGAC
rnacentral:lncRNA from 1 species